rnacentral:misc_RNA from 1 species
UCUCCGUAGGUGAACCUGCGGAGGGAUCACUACAGGCUUGCAAAAGCUCUGAAACCACUGUUUAUCUACCUGAAUCUGCUUUGGCGGGCGGCCCCAGGGCGGGGCCGUAGCCGCAAGGCGCCCGCCGAAGACCCCUAAACUCUGUCGUCUUGAGAAUCUCUGAGUAUCAUAUUAAACAGAAAACAACUUUCAACAACGGAUCUCUUGGCUCUG